rnacentral:rRNA from 1 species
UCGCCUGUUUAUCAAAAACAUAGCUUUAGGAAAAUUAUCUAAGGUUAAACCUGCUCAGUGUAUAAAUUCUAAAGUAUAUUAUAAAUAGCCGCGGUACUUUGACCGUGCUAAGGUAGCGCAAUAAAUUGGCUUUUAAUUGGAGUCAGGUAUGAAUGGAUUAACGGAAUUUAACUGUCUCUAAACUAAUUUUUUGAAAUUACUAUAUAGGUGAAAAAGCCUAUGAACACAAAAUAGACGAGAAGACCCUUAGAGUUUUAUUUAACGUAAAUUAUAUUUACAAUGAUUUAGUUGGGGCAACUUAGGAACAUAAGUACAAAACAACUUCCUAAAAUAUGGGUAUUUAACGAUUUUUAUAAAACUAUAUAAACUACCUUAGGGAUAACAGCAUAAUUUAUUAAAUAAGUUUGUGACCUCGAUGUUGGACUAGGAAAUCAAAGGGUUAGCCACUUUUUGAAAAGUGUUCGAUGUUCGAACUAUGAAUCCU